rnacentral:rRNA from 1 species
UUUUUUUUUCAUUUUUAGGUUUGGUUUAAAAUAAAUAUUUUUUUUAAUAGUUUUUUUAAAAUUUUUUUUUAUAGUACUGUUAAGGUUUUUUAAAAAUUUUUUAAGAUAUUUUGAUAUUUUUACCUUUUGUAUCAUGGUUUAACUAAUGUUUAUUUUUUAUAAUUUUCUAGAAGGAUUGACGAAUACCUUUUUGAUGUUUAGCACUUAUGGGUUAUUUGUUGCAGUAAAUAUUUUUAUACAUUAAGGUUGAAACGAGAUGUUCCGAGUUUUUUUAUAGCUAGUUUUCUUAUUUUAUCUUUAAGGGUUUUUAUUUUUUGGGGGUAAUUUCCAAUUGGUUAGAGAAGAUUGGGUUUUAUUUUUAUUUGUAGGAAUAUAGGUUUUUAUUGUUUAAAAAUGUGUAAUAACUUUUUAUAAUCUUUACUUUCUUUUUUCUAAGAAAUUUUCUUUAUUCUAUUUUGUUUAUUUACAAUGUUUAAAUUAGUAUUUUUUUUUUUUAAGUAAAAGGAAUUCGGCAAAUAUAAAUUUCGACUGUUUUCAAAAACAUAGCCUUUUGUUUUUUUAUUAAAGGUAUUUUCUGCUCAGUGUUGGUAAAUAGCCGCAGUAAUUUGACUGUGCAAAGGUAGCAUAAUCAUUUGCCUCAUAAUUGGGGGCUUGUAUGAAUGGUAUUACGAAAAUUUGACUGUCUUUUACUUAUUAAUAUAAUUUGUGUUUAGUGUGAAGACACACUAAUAGUUUAGUGGGACAAGAAGACCCUCUUGAGUUUUAUUUGAUUGUUUAUUUUUUAUAUAAAUUUAAUUUGGUUGGGGCGACCUAGGAAGGGACUUACUUGCAUCUUCCUUUUAAUUAUAGAGAACCAUUAUUUUUGGCAUAUAGAUUAAGUUACCAGAGGGAUAACAGCGUAAUUUUUUUUGAGAGUUCUUAUUAAAAAUAAAGAUUGCGACCUCGAUGUUGACUUAUAGUUUCCUUUUGGUGCAGUAGCUGUAAGGGUAGGUCUGUUCGACCUUUAAUACCUUACGUGAGUUGAGUUCAGACCGGCGAGAGCCAGGUUAGUUUCUAUCUUUUAUUUAUUUUCUAAGCUUUUUAGUACGAGAGGAUUGAGGGCUUUUUU